rnacentral:lncRNA from 1 species
AUACAGGUAACACUGAAACAUAUAUUUGAAGAGCUGUUUCUCUCUUCUGUCCAGCCAUUUGCUUCAUGCAGGACUGCAAGGUGCAAUAUUAUGAGACUUCAGCCAGAAAGACAGGUCAAGGAUCCAAACAGUGAGCAGAAAAUUCCCUUGAGGAUUAACUAUAAACAGACACAUGAUACCAGACUAUGGUUUCAGCCAAGACAUUGUUAAUUCCUAGACUUUGACAUGGAAAAUGAAUGGAGUCACGUGAAAACAACGACAAAAAAAAUUCUAAAAGCAUAUAUCUCACAGGAUUCAGAGUGAUGCUUCCUCCCAAAAUGCACCUGAGUUCAUUUAUUAACAAGGAAAAUGGGGUUUCAUCCUGAAAAACUGAUGGAAUGGCGAUGACUCACUCACUCACAUUUCCUGGUACAUCUGUAGAAGAGACAAGAAAAGUGAGCUAUCAAGUUAAUCUCAUAUUUUUGUGCUUGGUUUGUACAAGUCAAGACACAAGAAAAUAUUUGAAAGAGCAGACAUUUGACAUUCCUAGCUCAAAGUCGCUGACUCCAUUUCCAAGGAGUGAUCUCCUGCUGUUGGUCUGACCCACCUAAAUGGAACACGAUCUUGCUUUCAUUUGACGGCACCCACGAAGACCUCAUUUCUUAAUAAUAAUACAUCUCAUGUUCCCACAUUCUCCCUUUGUAAAAAAGCAUAUACUCUUGCAAGUUACCAUUUCCAAUGCCUCCUAAUAUUUCUAUCUUGAAUAGUUUUCAAAUGUAGUGUGAUCAAAAUGCAUAGUUGUAAUAUUGGAAAAAACAGCACUUUUGUCUUUUGUGAAAAUAAAUUCCAUUUUCAAAGUCUUAUAUAUUGUUUCUCUGGACUUUAGCUUUUUUUUUUUUUUUUUUUUUUUUUUCUCCGGUACCGGCAACCGAACUCACGACCUUGCACUUGCCAGGCAGGCGCUUUUUGCCGCUGA